GAAAGGCGGCGUAAGCUGUCGCUAAGGGAUAGGCCCCGCGGUGCAUUAGCUAGUUGGUAAGGUAACGGCUUACCAAGGCGACGAUGCAUAGCCGAGUUGAGAGACUGAUCGGCCACAUUGGGACUGAGACACGGCCCAAACUCCUACGGGAGGCAGCAGUAGGGAAUCUUCCACAAUGGACGCAAGUCUGAUGGAGCAACGCCGCGUGAGUGAAGAAGGUUUUCGGAUCGUAAAGCUCUGUUGUUGGUGAAGAAGGAUAGAGGUAGUAACUGGCCUUUAUUUGACGGUAAUCAACCAGAAAGUCACGGCUAACUACGUGCCAGCAGCCGCGGUAAUACGUAGGUGGCAAGCGUUGUCCGGAUUUAUUGGGCGUAAAGCGAGCGCAGGCGGAAAAAUAAGUCUAAUGUGAAAGCCCUCGGCUUAACCGAGGAACUGCAUCGNAAACUGUUUUUCUUGAGUGCAGAAGAGGAGAGUGGAACUCCAUGUGUAGCGGUGGAAUGCGUAGAUAUAUGGAAGAACACCAGUGGCGAAGGCGGCUCUCUGGUCUGCAACUGACGCUGAGGCUCGAAAGCAUGGGUAGCGAACAGGAUUAGAUACCCUGGUAGUUCCAUGCCG
rnacentral:rRNA from 1 species